rnacentral:lncRNA from 1 species
AGGGUUGAGAUCUCUGUUUACUUAGAUCUCUGCCAACUUCCUUUGGGUCUCCCUAUGGAAUGUAAGACCCCGACUCUUCCUGGUGAAGCAUCUGAUGCACGUUCCAUCCGGCGCUCAGCUGGGCUUGAGCUGACCAUACUCCCUGGAGCCUUCUCCCGAGGUGCGCGGGUGACCUUGGCACAUACAGCCAUCAUGAUGGUACUUUAAGUGGAGGCUGAAUCAUCUCCCCUUUGAGCUGCUUGGCACGUGGCUCCCUUGGUGUUCCCCUUUUACUGCCAGGACACUGAGAUUUGGAGAGAAUCCUGUUACACCUGGGAUUUAGGCACUUUCAAUCUGAAAAAAUACAUAUCCUUUCAGCACUCUGGACGGACUUGAGAACUGUCCUUACGUGACCUAAAGCUGGAGUAUUUUGAGAUUGGAGAAUUAAGAGUGUGGGCACCCUGGCUUCAAGCUCACGAGAAACCAGGUCGGGAUUUAAACAAUGUUGGGUUAAAGCAAAGUUUCAUAAAGACAGAAUC